CCUACGGGAGGCUGCAGUGGGGAAUCUUGCGCAAUGGGCGAAAGCCUGACGCAGCGACGCCGCGUGGGUGAUGAAGUUUUUCGAAACGUAAAACCCUGUCGGGAGGGACGAAGCUCUGACGGUACCUCCAAAGGAAGCCCCGGCUAACUCCGUGCCAGCAGCCGCGGUAAUACGGGGGGGGCUAGCGUUGUUCGGAAUUACUGGGCGUAAAGGGCGCGUAGGCGGCUGAGCAGGUCCGGUGUGAAAUCCCUCGGCUUAACUGAGGAAUUGCGCUGGAAACCGCUCGGCUAGAGUACAGGAGAGGAGGGCGGAAUUCUCGGUGUAGCGGUGAAAUGCGUAGAUAUCGAGAAGAACACCGGUGGCGAAGGCGGCCCUCUGGACUGUCACUGACGCUGAGGCGCGAAAGCGUGGGGAGCGAACGGGCUUAGAUACCCCGGUAGUC
rnacentral:rRNA from 1 species